CUGAUGUCUUAAAAAUGAGCGGUUAAAUAUUUUUAUAACUUUUCAUAUUUUCUAUUUAACAAAUUUAUGUUAUGGAUUUGAAAAAUAAACAAAUUGACUACUAUUUUGAACACAGAGAAGACAACUGGAACAUACAACCUGCGAAUUUUAGAGGGUCAAACUUGCUGUAGAUUUGCUCAACCUGUGGAGGAACACACUCUUUUGACGCAAGAAUCUGUGUUUGAUGAGCUGUCAACUAGUCAAGCUCAGAUUUCUGUCCAAUGUAAGGAGAACUCUGAGGGUCAAGACGGAGUGGUGCUGUUUGACACGGAAGACUUUCCUAUGGUCAACAUCAACUGUCCUACCGGUGCAGAAGAUUUCCUAAACAGCAGUAGAUAAGUACGAAGCAAUGAGACUCAAAGACUUGCUUUUGAUGGAACUUGUAUGUGAUCUUAAAUCUAAUAAAUCACAAUAAUUAUUACAUUUAUUAAGCUGUUAUUUUCACCAUUAAAUUGAAUUAUUAUAUUAAUUAUAGGCUACAGGACUGGCUAUUGCAUGCGAUGUAAACAGCAUUCCAAUUCCAUUUUUAUCAUGAAUACAUAAAGUAGGCUAAUUAAAAUAAAACAGGCCUACAAGAAAAUAUUUUCACGCAUCCCACCGUCUUGCAAGCUGUGUUCAAUUACUGAUUGUCUGUUUCUGCAAUAUUUGUAUAUCAUUUGUUAUCAUUAUUAUUAUUAUAGCCUUUAUUUCAUAUUAGUUUUUUCCUGCAUUUCAAUCAAGUUUUGUAAAUAAGCCUACUGUAAAUCGACACGACAAUAUCUGACUAUAACUAUAGCCUACUGGAAAGGCAGUUGAGAGGUUAAAUGUAACACAUUUAAUUGCAUUUCUGGGAAGUAAUAAUUAUUUAGAGCCAACUGCCUUAGUGUUUAAUUUAAUUAGUAAAUAAAAACACAACAUGCUCAUUUGUCAUCACACAUAGCCAUAACUAGCCUACAAUUAUAAAGUAUUGGCAUAACUGUCCCGAACAGCCAUCAGUGUUCCCUGGAAACUCACGAGGAGCGCCUAUUGUUGUUCGGUCACAGCUGUUCCUCAUUUGGCCCCA